GCCGGGGUGGUGAAAUUGGUAAACACAGUGGAUUCAAAAUCCACCGGCUUCACGGCCUUGUCGGUUCAAGUCCGACCCUCGGUACCA
rnacentral:tRNA from 1 species